CCUGGCUCAGAUUGAACGCUGGCGGCAUGCCUUACACAUGCAAGUCGAACGGCAGCACGGGAGCUUGCUCCUGGUGGCGAGUGGCGAACGGGUGAGUAAUACAUCGGAACGUACCCAGGAGUGGGGGAUAACGUAGCGAAAGUUACGCUAAUACCGCAUAUUCUGUGAGCAGGAAAGCGGGGGAUCGCAAGACCUCGCGCUCUAGGAGCGGCCGAUGUCGGAUUAGCUAGUUGGUGAGGUAAAAGCUCACCAAGGCGACGAUCCGUAGCAGGUCUGAGAGGAUGAUCUGCCACACUGGGACUGAGACACGGCCCAGACUCCUACGGGAGGCAGCAGUGGGGAAUUUUGGACAAUGGGGGCAACCCUGAUCCAGCCAUGCCGCGAGUGAAGAAGGCCUUCGGGUUGUAAAGCUCUUUCGGCGGGG
rnacentral:rRNA from 1 species